UCAACAUGGCGGAAUUUGCAGUCUCCCAGGGGCAAGAAUGAGAAAACUGGGUCAACACAUGGUCAAAUCUGCUAUGUCUUUGGAGUGAGCCAAUAUGCUGGGAUUAACAAGAGGGAAACACAUGUAGGUGCCAAGAAGCAGAUGAAGCCUGCAGAAAGACAAAUGAAGUAAAUACGCAAGAUUCGGAGAAAGGAAAUGAGGAAUUCGGGAAAGGAAGUAAAUACUCAAGAUUCGGAGAAAGGAAAUGAGGAAUUCGGGAAAGAUGCUUCCAGGUUAAGUGAUUUGCAUUACAUUCUGGACUCAUCGAACAAUUCCAUUGAUUCUGAGAUUGUACCUCAGAGACCUUAAGAAGGGUUGACAGCUCUGAACAGCAGUAUGUUCUAGUGCCAGACAUCAAUGCAAUUAAAACUCUAUGGAAAAGUCUCGAAAGCCCGAAAAUUUACCAUCAGACGCAGAAAUGGCAAACCUGAACAACUUCAUCCAAUCCGAAAUCAAAGAACCUGUGGAAUGUUUUACCUUGGAGAAGUAUGCAUGGUUAUGGUCUCUUAUUGUGGCAGGGCUGACAUUAUAUAAUGCUCGGCGUGGAGAGGAGCCGGCAAGGAUGCUUGUAAAGGAGUGGACGGAAGCUUAAGCUGAUACUUGGUUGCCACAAGAGAGUGUACAUGUAUAAGGCCAAGUUUUCAGUCAGAUCCCCAGGAGCCUGGCUGCCAGCACAGGACAUGGCCCUGGAGGAUCAACUUGUUGGUAUCCCUCGUUCUGUGUUGUCCAGGGAGCAUCUUUCUGCAGACCAAGAUGUCUCAACACUGGGUCGAUGUUCAGCACCAGACAUGCCUGAGACUUGCGUACCUGAAGUCGUCUAUGGGUCAAGUGAGGACUGAAGCUCCCCAGUAGCCUGGCUGCCAGCACAGGACAUGGCCCCGUAGGACCAACUUGUUGGUAUCCCUCAUUCUGUGUUGUCCAGGGAGCAUCUUUCUACAGACCAAGAUGUCUCAAUACUGGGUCGAUGUUCAGCACCAGACAUGCCUGAGACUUGCGUACCUGAAGUUGACAGUGGGUCAAGUGAGGACUGCAGAUCCCCAGUAGCCUGGCUGCCAGCACAGGACAUGGCCCCGGAGGAUCAACUUGUUGAU